CAGUCGCCGCGGUAAUACGUAGGUGGCAAGCGUUGUCCGGAAUUAUUGGGCGUAAAGGGCUCGCAGGCGGUUUCUUAAGUCUGAUGUGAAAGCCCCCGGCUCAACCGGGGAGGGUCAUUGGAAACUGGGAAACUUGAGUGCAGAAGAGGAGAGUGGAAUUCCACGUGUAGCGGUGAAAUGCGUAGAGAUGUGGAGGAACACCAGAGGCGAAGGCGACUCUCUGGUCUGUAACUGACGCUGAGGAGCGAAAGCGUGGGGAGCGAACAGGAUUAGAUACCCCCGUAGUCCCUGUCUCUUAUAC
rnacentral:rRNA from 1 species